rnacentral:rRNA from 1 species
UGGUAAAGGGGGGGAUCGCCGAAUUUACCCGCUUUCUCUUUAGAGAAUAGGACAAUCAGAAUACAUGAGGGAUGGAUUAGCGGCCGCGAUUCGCCCUUACCGCUGAACUUAAGCAUAUCAAUAAGCGGAGGAAAAGAACUAACAAGGAUUCCCCUAGUAACUGCGAGUGAAGCGGGAAAAGCUCAAAUUUAAAAUCUGGUGGCCUCUGGUCAUCCGAGUUGUAAUUUAGAGAAGCGUCUUCCGCGCUGGACCAUGCACAAGUCUCCUGGAAUGGAGCGUCAUAGAGGGUGAGAAUCCCGUCUUUGGCAUGGAUGCACCAGGGCUUCUGUGAUGCGCUCUCAAAGAGUCGAGUUGUUUGGGAAUGCAGCUCANAAUGGGUGGUGAACUCCAUCUAAAGCUAAAUAUUGGCGAGAGACCGAUAGCGAACAAGUACCGUGAGGGGAAGAUGAAAAGCACUUUGGAAAGAGAGUGAAACAGUACGUGAAAUUGUUGAAAGGGAAACGCUUGAAGUCAGUCGCGUCGACCGAGACUCAGCCUCGCCUUGGCUUGGUGUACUUCUCGGCUGACGGGUCAGUGUCAAUUAUGGGCCUCGGAUAAUGACAAGGGAAAGGUGGCACCUUUAUAGGUGUGUUAUAGUCUCCUGUCGGAUGCGAGGGUCGGGAUUGAGGAACUCAGCACGCGCCUUUUGGUGCCGGGGCUUCGGCCUACGCUACGUGCUUAGGAUGCUGGCAUAAUGGCUUUAAACGACCCGUCUUGAAACACGG